rnacentral:lncRNA from 1 species
CGCGUAUUUGAUGGAGAGGCCGCAGCACUGAGGGAAAUGGUGCAAAUUGUGCAGAAAUUCUUCCCUGGGAGGGCGAGGAGGCCCUGGCCCAGACAGGCUGUGCUGCCCCAUUCUUGGAAGUGUCCAAGGCAAGGUUGGACGGGGCUUGGAGCAGCCUGGGAUGGUGGAAGGUGUCCCUGCCCAUGGCAGAGGGCGGAAAUUCGUGAGCUUUGAGUCCCUUCCAACCCAAACUGAUUUGUGAUCUAUGAUUCUGUGAGCCGCCAUUCACCACCCACAUGACAUUUAACAGGCCAAUUGCCAGAUUCUGCACCUGGGAUAGAUCAGCCCUGGAUGUCUGGACAGAUUCUGGAAUGUCACCGGAGAGCAACGCCCUGGAAAAGGACCGGGGGGUCCUGGCAGAUGCAAAUUGAACAUAAGUCAGCAGCACCCCUAGAACACACAGCACAGUUGGCUCCCCUUACUCAAGGAGCUAACAAGCUUUAAGGGUGCAGUAAAUCGAGAUGUUGAUAUAUAUCUGUGUAUACUUUGCUAAUUUGGCAAAAAACUCGAGGUCUGUACAUCCCACAGCUGAACUCUCUUCACCUGGAGGCUCAGGUGCUGCCUCACAGCCUUUUGCCAUCCCUCCUAGCGGCAAAUUACAAUUUCCCGAAGCGAUGUUUAACCAGUUUUACCAGGAAGUUACUUCUUUUCUAAGCAGAUAUUAAAUUUAUACUGAAAAACUUUGUGUUUUCUGAGAUAGCAACACAGACAUUUUUUUCUCCUCGCUUAAAGCAGUGAUAUCUCUAAUUAUGGAAAUCAUUUGAACUCUGCCGCUGCCUGUAAAUGCAUCUUUGUUUCAAGCUGGCAUGUAACAACCCUACUUGACAGUGAGACAAAAGCUGUAAUCAGAGCACAACAAUAAAAGCUGAAGUCAGCCGCAAACAAUGCCUCACCAUUCCCAUGGCAACUUUUCCCUAUCAAACCCCGGAGAGGUCACACAUUCUGCAGCUGCACCAGCCAGAAGCAUUUCAGUUUGGACUCCAUUCACAAUUAUUCCUACAUUUUUUUGGUCAUUUUUCACUUAACAGUGUUUUACUGGAGAUCAUACAAGACAACUAGCAGUGGAUGGCACCACAUCUCUCCCCCACUAGAGUUCCAAAGUGACUUUUCUCAUUCUCGAUGGGACUGCAGGAUGUGUCCUGCCAUCACAGUGCACAUGGAAGAGCCUUUUACAAAACUGCACACCCCUUCUGCAUUCAAAAAUCCAUGCAGUCAAAAGCCAUUCCACACAGAUGAAAGCUACAGCAGCCUGCAGUCUGAUAUGCCUUAACUUGCAAAUAUUUUUUCCAGCCUCCCACACAAGGUUUGAAUAACCUGACAGGAGGACUCAGGAAAGGCUAAAGAGUUGGUUACAUUUAAAAGAAGAAGUGUAUUUUAUUGUAAUUUGGUAGCAAACCUCAUAUUGUGCUUUACCAUCGUUUCUAUCAUGGAACACUGCAGCUUUGCUUUGAUGAUGGCCUAAUUCUCCCAGUUUGGUGAGGAGACAAUCAGGUAUAUAAAGAACUAUUUUGACUUAAACUGAGAUAAAACCACUUUAAAAUAGCUACAUUCUGUCAGCUGUGCUGUUCACACAAGUAUUUUCAUUAAAUUCACAUCUGGAGAACCAAAUUAAGAAGAGUUGUGAAUCUUUGAUGUCCAAGACAUAAACACAGUUAUCAUUAAUGCCCCAACUUAAAGCAAAACUUGCUUUCAGUAGAAAGCUUCUCAUAGUUCUAGUGUUAUGAACUCUAGUGGUACAGAGGCUACUGAAAGCUCCAAACAACUCCAUAUUUUCAGUAUUCCUCCCUGUAGGAUGUGCAAAUGAAGCAGUUGAAAGUGAUUGUGAUGCCAAACAGGUGAACUUUGGGUGUGAAGUGACUGGGUGGCCCAGGGACUUUCCUAUUGUGCACUGCAAAGCAGGCACACAGAGAUUGCAAAGGACAGAAUCUAUAUUUUACCCUCUGUCUAAAAAUAUUCAAGCACAAGGUCUGCACUGGCUUCUUCUCCAUGCAAUUCCACUUGACUUCAGUGCAGAAAUUGGUUCAGAGCCCAGUAUAUUCCAGCAGAAGUAUGAGACAGACACUUAUUUCCUCUCCAGUUGUCUCUAUUCAUAGUUUUCAAACACUGGCAGGUAUCCCCACAAAAGUCUUCAUGGCUGGCAAAAAAUGUUGGCAGAACUCUGCUGUGCCAGUCCUUUACUCAGAGCCUGCUUGUGAUUCUUGUCACUGAAAUAGGUAGGAGGGUUUGCACAUCAAUUCCUACUGGCAUUUCAGCUACUCAGAAUACAGAUUAUAAUAAAUAGCAUUUGGUGAGUGACCUGCAGCAAUAUGCACCAUUAAGAACAAGUGUUUAUUCCACAAGGUGUAGAAACUCCCAGAGGAACGGUAGUACCAGAGGAGCAGCAUGUAUCUAUCCAUAUAAAUGCAAACACACAAACAGAAAUAUGCAAAUCACAUACAUAUCUUGUAAAUAUAAAUACACAACUUGCAUGUCUUGGCAAAGAGGCAGAAAUAUCCAAAAAUUCCAGAAUACAACUUUCUAAUUGUAUUUUCAUGGUGGAUAAUUUUACCCAGCAGAGGAAGUUCAGCAAGUUUAUAGAUAUGCAGAAAUAAAGAGCUAUGAACAAAACCUCACUUCAUUGCUCUAAAGAAAUUAAUUCGGCCUGGGACAAAACGGUUUUGUGAAAACUAACAGUUAUGUUGCCGUGGAAAACAGGAAAAAAGCCUGGCCAGUGAAUUACUGAGUGCAGAGCAAAAUGCUGUCACUAUAUUCUGUUUUUAUGGGUUCAAUAUUGCAAAUUCCAUCCACAUGCAGUAUGCCUCCUGUGCACUAUUUUAAGAGGGGUGUUGCUGACCUCAAUGGGACUGCUUUUCAUAGAGGCUGUGACCAGGCAAGGUCAUUACUCUGCUGACACCUUCAGUGUUAGCAUCCAAGGAAAGCUUUUCACUCACUAAACUCCAUCCCAGAGGAUGAAUGUCUGAGUUUACUGCAGUGGCAUGGGGCUAAUUAGGUAGUAUUUAUUACCUAAUUAAAUUAGUUGCCAUAAUGGAGAGAAAGAGACCAAAAAUUCUCCAAGGCUGCAGCCAGUGUGACCUGGGGAAGAGCAAGCCUUGCUGUUUCAGGGUUUCCAGUUCUGAAACAGUGAGUGAGGCAACCUCUGAGAAACGAGGUUGUCGUGUCCACCUCAGGAGUAACCCCUUGUUGAUGGCAGCUGCUGCCGCUGGAGAAGGUGACACUGAGGUGUGGGAAUCCAGAGCUUCCCUCUGGCUGCCCUGGCAGGUCUGGGACCCUGGCAGGGGUCAGGAACCCCCCUGGACAGAGCCCCCAGAGACACUGUCUGUGAUCUCUGUCCAUGGAAAAGAGUUUUCAAUCUUACAGGAUGAAUUACAAGCUCUGAGUGUUUGAUAUAAGCAAUAAUUAAGUGUGGCACGGGUGCAAAAGUAAAAUUUUUGGUUUCUAGAUUAGGGGUUCAGAGGGGACAAGAUGGAGGAAAUUGGGUGUGCCUUGUCCUUUUUCUCCUUCUUCAUGCCCUCCAUUUUUCACUGUGGUGUUGGCAUUUUUCUGUUGGUUCAGGCUGGGGACACACUGUCCAACGUAGGUGACAGAUAUUGGCACGUUAUUGUAAAUCCAGCACAGGUAGUUUCUGGUAUUUAAUGUUUGUACCAUCCCACUGAGGGCAGAGCCCCACACGCUGCCCUGCAGGACAGAGCUGCGGCAGGGCAGCAGAACAUGUUAGAGAUAAACAGAAUAAACAACCUUGAAACCAGCACAGACCAAUUAUGGCUUCUGCUUUGGCAGCGGGGCUGACAGACAGAGACUUUCUACAAUCUCAGAAUCACCAAUAUCACAGAUUCUGACAAUGAGGGACAGCCACCCUCUGCACCCUGCAGAAGGUUUCCCUCCAGUCAGUGCCUUUCAGCAGAGCUCUGCUUGUGAUGGGCACCUUGAGGCAACGCAGACAAAACCUCCCUGUGGAGGAAAGGAGCAGCAGCUUUAAAAUCCCUGCACGUAUGAGCAGAUCGUUUCAUUCAAAAGCUGCUUUAAAGCAUAUUUGCAAUAGGCAUUUUAAGGCUAAAACUUCAUCUCUUCUGAUGAAAUGAUGUUGACGGAGCUCGGAAAUUUAAUCUCACGUGGAGGUUGCAUUGGUUCAGCUUCAGCUGCCAGUUACUGGGUCUUGUUAUUAAUUUUAUGUUAAAGUAGAAAAGCAUCCUGAUGUAGCUGCUGUGGAUAAGCAUUGAUACACAGUUCUACAGUGAUGAAGUAAUUUCCCAGCCUUUUAAAUACUCUGUUUCCCUGAAAGCCAUAUUUAAACACUUUGAGUUUGUUGGGAGUUUAAUAUUCUUAUGGUGCAGUUGUUUUCCUCAUUCCUAUGUGCAUUGCAUUAUUCUAAAAUACAUAUGGUGAUUCCUCAUUUUCUACCAAACUGUGAACUUUUAUUUUGCUUCCAUCUUUCUAGACAUAAAAUUUAUUAGCAAAAAACCGAAAAAGCCCUUUUCCCCCUUUUGUCUAUUUUAACCUAAAACCAUUCCACAUUUAAAAAUAAAGUGAAUUGUCUUUAAAAUACAGUGUCCCUGCAAUAAAAAGAUUGAAAUGCUUUCAUUUCAUUUCAAAGCUUAAAAGAUGAGAGCUUAAUCUUCUUCAGAAAAGGGCGUAUUCUGCACUGAAAUGUAUGCAAAGCGCUCCGGGGGCUUCCAGCUCACCCUGCUGCUGCAGUCAGGUCAGGACAGUGCCUUGCUGCUGUCACGGGGCAGGAUGGGAGGCACAGGCUCACUAUUUUGUGUGUUUUACUUGUUAAAUAUUUCACUAUGCACUGUUUUACAGAGGUAAUUUACAUUUAUAUUAGCCGGUACAGUGCAGAGUAAAGCUGGGGGUGGAAGCUGCUCUCAUUUGUGCUUUUACCAGGAGCUAUAACAUCAUACUUUGCUGCAAGUCUCAGUCCUCAAAGGACUGGGGCUGGAGAUUGUGCUGGAUGUGCCUUUUAAAUUGUUAUAAGCCAUGAUUUGAGUUGUAUUUCACAGGAACUACCACAGCAAGAACAACCUGAACCAGGGGAAGAGAAGCCCUACAAGAAGCAGUUGCAGGGCAGCAGUGACCUGACCUGAGCUGACUUUGGAGCACAGGAACUCCCUCCAGCCUCUCCUGUCCUCAGUGAGCACCAGAACAGAUGGAGCCCAAAGUCAUGCACUAAAUCAAUUAAACAGAUUAAAUAAAUGAAACUUUUACCCUUUG